UGAGGAAUAUUGGUCAAUGGACGCAAGUCUGAACCAGCCAUGCCGCGUGCAGGAAGACGGCUCUAUGAGUUGUAAACUGCUUUUGUACGAGGGUAAACUCACCUACGUGUAGGUGACUGAAAGUAUCGUACGAAUAAGGAUCGGCUAACUCCGUGCCAGCAGCCGCGGUAAUACGGAGGAUUCAAGCGUUAUCCGGAUUUAUUGGGUUUAAAGGGUGCGUAGGCGGUUUGAUAAGUUAGAGGUGAAAUCCCGGGGCUUAACUCCGGAACUGCCUCUAAUACUGUUAGACUAGAGAGUAGUUGCGGUAGGCGGAAUGUAUGGUGUAGCGGUGAAAUGCUUAGAGAUCAUACAGAACACCGAUUGCGAAGGCAGCUUACCAAACUAUAUCUGACGUUGAGGCACGAAAGCGUGGGUAUCAAACAGGAUUAGAUACCCUGGUAGUCCACGCAGUAAACGAUGAUAACUCGUUGUCGGCGAUACACAGUCGGUGACUAAGCGAAAGCGAUAAGUUAUCCACCUGGGGAGUACGUUCGCAAGAAUGAAACUCAAAGGAAUUGACGGGGGCCCGCACAAGCGGAGGAACAUGUGGUUUAAUUCGAUGAUACGCGAGGAACCUUACCCGGGCUUGAAAGUUACUGACGAUUCUGGAAACAGGAUUUCCCUUUGGGGCAGGAAACUAGGUGCUGCAUGGUUGUCGUCAGCUCGUGCCGUGAGGUGUCGGGUUAAGUCCCAUAACGAGCGCAACCCCUACCGUUAGUUGCCAUCAGGUCAAGCUGGGCACUCUGGCGGGACUGCCGGUGUAAGCCGAGAGGAAGGUGGGGAUGACGUCAAAUCAGCACGGCCCUUACGUCCGGGGCUACACACGUGUUACAAUGGUAGGUACAGAGGGUCGCUACUCCGUGAGGAGAUGCCAAUCUCGAAAGCCUAUCUCAGUUCGGAUUGGAGGCUGAAACCCGCCUCCAUGAAGUUGGAUUCGCUAGUAAUCGCGUAUCAGCCAUGGCGCGGUGAAUACGUUCCC
rnacentral:rRNA from 1 species